AGUGAACGCUGGCGGCAUGCCUAACACAUGCAAGUCGAACGGCAGCACAGUAAGUGCUUGCUCUUACGGGUGGCCGGUCGCGGACGGGACAGGAAUACAUCCGAACCUACUCUUUCGUGGGGGUUAACGUAGGGAAACUUACGCUACUACCGCAGACGACCUACGGGUGAAAGCAGGGGAUCUUCCGACCUUGCGCGAUUGAAUGAGCCGAUGUCGGAUUAGCUAGUUGGGGGGGUAAAGGCCCACCAAGGCGACGAUCCGUAGCUGGUCUGAGAGGAUGAUCAGCCACACUGGAACUGAGACACGGUCCAGACUCCUACGGGAGGCAGCAGUGGGGAAUGUUGGACAAUGGGCGCAAGCCUGAUCCAGCCAGACCGCGUGGGUGAUGAAGGCCUUCGGGUUGUAAAGCCCUUUUGUUGGGAAAGAAAAGCAGUCGGUUAAUACCCCGCUGUUCUGACGGUACCCAAAGAAUAAGCACCGGCUAACUACGUG
rnacentral:rRNA from 1 species